CGGUGCGGGGGGCUAUACAUGGCAAGUCGAACGAACUCUGGUAUUGAUUGGUGCUUGCAUCAUGAUUUACAUUUGAGUGAGUGGCGAACUGGUGAGUAACACGUGGGAAACCUGCCCAGAAGCGGGGGAUAACACCUGGAAACAGAUGCUAAUACCGCAUAACAACUUGGACCGCAUGGUCCGAGUUUGAAAGAUGGCUUCGGCUAUCACUUUUGGAUGGUCCCGCGGCGUAUUAGCUAGAUGGUGGGGUAACGGCUCACCAUGGCAAUGAUACGUAGCCGACCUGAGAGGGUAAUCGGCCACAUUGGGACUGAGACACGGCCCAAACUCCUACGGGAGGCAGCAGUAGGGAAUCUUCCACAAUGGACGAAAGUCUGAUGGAGCAACGCCGCGUGAGUGAAGAAGGGUUUCGGCUCGUAAAACUCUGUUGUUAAAGAAGAACAUAUCUGAGAGUAACUGUUCAGGUAUUGACGGUAUUUAACCAGAAAGCCACGGCUAACUACGUGCCAGCAGCCGCGGUAAUACGUAGGUGGCAAGCGUUGUCCGGAUUUAUUGGGCGUAAAGCGAGCGCAGGCGGUUUUUUAAGUCUGAUGUGAAAGCCUUCGGCUCAACCGAAGAAGUGCAUCGGAAACUGGGAAACUUGAGUGCAGAAGAGGACAGUGGAACUCCAUGUGUAGCGGUGAAAUGCGUAGAUAUAUGGAAGAACACCAGUGGCGAAGGCGGCUGUCUGGUCUGUAACUGACGCUGAGGCUCGAAAGUAUGGGUAGCAAACAGGAUUAGAUACCCUGGUAGUCCAUACCGUAAACGAUGAAUGCUAAGUGUUGGAGGGUUUCCGCCCUUCAGUGCUGCAGCUAACGCAUUAAGCAUUCCGCCUGGGGAGUACGGCCGCAAGGCUGAAACUCAAAGGAAUUGACGGGGGCUCGCACAAGCGGUGGAGCAUGUGGUUUAAUUCGAAGCUACGCGAAGAACCUUACCAGGUCUUGACAUACUAUGCAAAUCUAAGAGAUUAGACGUUCCCUUUCGGGGACAUGGAUACAGGUGGUGCAUGGAUGUCGUCAGCUCGUGUCGUGAGAUGUGGGUAAGUCCUCGCACGAGCGCAACCCUUAUUAUCAGUUGCCAGCAUUAAGUUGGGAACUCUG
rnacentral:rRNA from 1 species